GACGAACGCUGGCGGCGUGCCUAAUACAUGCAAGUCGAACGAGAGCGACCGGUGCUUGCACUGGUCAAUCUAGUGGCGAACGGGUGAGUAACACGUGGGUAACCUGCCCAUCAGAGGGGGAUAACAUUCGGAAACGGAUGCUAAAACCGCAUAGGUCUUCGAACCGCAUGGUUCGAAGAGGAAAAGAGGCGCAAGCUUCUGCUGGUGGAUGGACCCGCGGAGCAUUAGCUAGUUGGUGAGGUAACGGCUCACCAAGGCCGUGAUGCAUAGCCGACCUGAGAGGGUGAUCGGCCACAUUGGAACUGAGACACGGCCCAAACUCCUACGGGAGGCAGCAGUAGGGAAUCUUCCGCAAUGGACGCAAGUCUGACGGAGCAACGCCGCGUGAGUGAAGAAGGUUUUCGGAUCGUAAAACUCUGUUGUUAGGGAAGAAUAAGUGCUAGAGUAACUGUUAGCGCCUUGACGGUAUCUAACCAGAAAGCCACGGCUAACUACGUG
rnacentral:rRNA from 1 species